AAACUUUCAACAACGGAUCUCUUGGUUCUGGCAUCGAUGAAAAACGCAGCGAAAUGCGAUAAGUAAUGUGAAUUGCAAAAUUCAGUGAAUCAUCCAAUCUUUGAACGCACAUUGCGCCCUCUGGUAUUCCGGAGGGCAUGCCUGUUCGAGCGUCAUU
rnacentral:rRNA from 1 species